rnacentral:rRNA from 1 species
AUGGCGCAGUGGUGGGAUGAGUGGCUGCUGCGCAUUCUCGUCCUAGCCAGCCUUGGCGCCCAAUACUUCCUCGUACUAUCCGCCCGAGUUCGUAAGUAUCAUAUCCCGCCAUGGCUCAAACUUCUUCUCCGGCUGGCGCACAUCGGCAGCGACGCUCUGGCCCUCUUCGCCAUCGCCACGCUCUUCAACCGCCAAAAAGCUGGGCCUUGCUGCAGCUACGCGCGCGGCAGCCGCGACUUGGAGCUGCUAUGGGCGCCCAUCCUGGUGCUGCACCUCGGCGGACAGGUCGUCAUAACCAGCUACAAAAUUGAAGACAACGAGCAGUGGAGCCGCCACAUCCUAACUUCUCUAUCUAAGACUGACGACGGGGUCCCAACGGAACCGCCCGAAAACCCGGCGAUCCGACGGACGUCUCCUCCGAUGGGCGGUGUCAACGUCGCAUGGCGCCGCGACGGCUUACCGCCCGACGGGAAAUCAGGAGAUCCGAGCAAGGCACGUCACCGCGUCGCCUGCAUCGCUGUCGGGCUGCCUCUGGACUUGCCGAAGCCGGAGGAGGAGGAGGAGCAGGCGGAAGAGGAGGAGGGAGAGGAGCAGCAGUCGGCUCCGAUGGAGUUGGCAGAUCCGGAGGAGGACGAGCAGGAGCAGGAGCCGGCGUCGGCUCCAGGCUUCAACAUGGAGGAUGCCAAAGCGUAAAGGAACUCCAGGUUGAGGCGCAUCGCGGGAUGGUUGGACUUGGCCGACGGCUACAUUUGGCACAUGGAGCCUAGCUAUUCGUGCCAGGAGAUUACAGAACUGGUUCGUGGGCAUAUUGAAACUGCGUGGAAGGAGGACAUAGUGGACACUGAAUCUUACAGGAGGUUUAAUUGUGCCAGGGGUGAGUGGACGCUCGCGAAAACUGGAUAUUUCCGACGGGUGGGUUGGAUCAUACAGAGGCCAUUUGAUGAGAGCAUUAUUCUCUGGCACCUGGCCACAGAUAUAUGCCUUGAGUACAAGGCCAUGUCUCCUGGUGAUAUGGAAUGUGCCCGCCGCUGCAAAGUAAUAUCCAACUACAUGAUGCAUCUCUUGGUUGCUAAUCCUGAGAUGCUAAUGCCAGGCAGCAGAAAGAGUGUCUUCACAACGAUCUACGCCGAACUUGACGCCUACCUCGACGGUGACAAGACACCGACACCGCAGGACCAGAGCGGAUUUACACAAGAAGUAAUUGAGAAAUGUAAGUCGGGUUAUAUCCCGGACUGUUUUGUUCGCGAUGCCUGGCUGCUCGUUCAAAGCUUGUUAGAUCAUUCUGAUGACGAUACCAAGAUAUGGGAGGUGAUCCAAGGUGUGUGGGUGGAGAUGAUCUGCUUUUCUGCCGGCCGGUGCCGAGGAUACCUGCACGCCGAGGCUCUCGGGACGGGUGUGGAGUACCUUUCAUAUGUCUGGGUCCUACUGGCAUUCUCUGGGAUGGACACAUUCACGGAAAAUCUUCAAGGGAGGGGUGGUCAGUCAUUUGACGGCCUUGAGUCUUGCAGUUUAGAGCGGAUGCCAGAGAAUCUUCAGAUGGGGAAGGACAGAAUCCUAGCCAAUCAGCUCAAGGCGUCCCUGUCUUUCUCCGAGCUCUUCAAAUGA